rnacentral:lncRNA from 1 species
CCCAAUUGAUUAAAAGUUAACUAGUUUUAAUUAUAAGUUCGACAAAAAUAUCCAAAAAUAAAAGUUAUUUUUAAAGGCUAAAAGCAAUAACUUCAAAGAGUAUUUACUUGAAAGGAAAGCUAUUAACUUAAAAUUUAAUAAUUAAGUUAACUUAAAAUUAAUAAUUUUAAUAUAGAUGGAUAAGAGACUAACUUUUUCUAAU